GUGAUGUCAUGGCGACUAAUGAUGUCACAGUGAUCCCUAAUGCAUUAUGACAUCAUUUUAUUACUGCAGUGUAUAUUUAUGGCAAUAUCACGCGAGUGUAAU